UUUACAAUCCCCAAGUCUAUUUAUUUUUUAUUUUAACUAUUUAGUUUAGUGUGCAAUGCAAUUUCAACUCAAUCGAACAUGCUUUUAUUGACGUUAAGUCUGUCACUAAACAACACAGGAGCACUCGAUCCAGCGGUUGCUACGGGAGAAAGCUGCAGCUGGUCAGAAUGGUCAUGUUGACCAGUGAAAAGGUGGAGUUAUUACGCUGGACAGAGUCCAAACAAAAGCUCCAGCAAACCCCCUUCAUCCUUCCUCUGCUCUCAGCGAAUUAUCCUCUCUUCUCUUUUGUUUUCAGCCGCCUGUAACCCACUGAUGCCCAAAAUCCCUGCAUGGAUGUUGAGCGAGAUGCUGGGAAGCAUGCAGGAAUCUCUUGGGAUUUCCUACAUGUUUAGUGUUUCCACGCUGACAUACCCUAACAGACUUUAUGGACCUGCAAUUGAAAGGAUGGCUGGCAGUUCAAUGCUGCAGUCUCCUACAGCGAGGUCUUGCGCUAAUAUCAACAUCGAUGGUAAAUAUUACAUACCUUGAACAGCCACCUGAGACCGGCAUGAAGUUCAUUGCGCAGCUCGUUUCCGCAGUCUGUAAUAUCCAAACACAGCUUAGAUGAGAAAUCUACAGUUAGUGGAGAGACCAGUCAUUCUGUGAGACUCUGAGUGAGACGGAUGGCUAUUAGGCCUUAUUCAGAAUCAUCUGAACAGGAAAUACAUUUCAAAAUGGGUUGUAAUGAGAUUAAAAACGGAUUUUUUUUUUCUUUAUAUGUGUCUCAGCCUGAAUUAUCAGAUUCGAUUUCAUGUCAGUUUUUUGUCCUUCAUUAUGUGACAAAUUGUGUCAGGUGCUGCAUCUUCAUUAAAACAUUGCAUUUGCAGUUCGCAAUAAAAUCAAACU